rnacentral:rRNA from 1 species
UACGUAGGGUGCAAGCGUUAAUCGGAAUUACUGGGCGUAAAGCGCACGUAGGCGGUCUUUUAAGUCGGGGGUGAAAUCCUGGAGCUCAACUCCAGAACUGCCUUCGAUACUGGAAGACUUGAGUCCGGGAGAGGUGAGUGGAACUGCGAGUGUAGAGGUGAAAUUCGUAGAUAUUCGCAAGAACACCAGUGGCGAAGGCGGACUCACUGGCCCGGUACUGACGC